GCAUAGGCAAACUCAUUGUAGCUGGACUAUACAAAGUAUAUCAAGAUAUGCCAAAUAUAGAGCUUAACUUCGCCUGUUUGAGAGACGGUGGUUCAGCUGACUUGUGGCUAAGAAUUACAAUUAACUGUGUGUAGUCAUUGAUAAUUUUCGUGAAUGCUGUGUUGGUGGGGUAAGAGGCCUGCAAAUAACAUUGAAGUGGGUACAGGAUUGCUGGAGAUGAUGAAAUGACAUCCUCAAAGCAGACAAUUCUUCCAAGUUUAACUGUGGAUGAGAGACACAUCAGAUGCUUGCAACACCAUGAAAAACUGACUGAGACACUAGGAAUGCUGUGAACUGAGAAAGUUUGGGACCUUUGGCAUAACUAAAUCCUUCAUUUAACAGUGUUGUGAACUACAUGUCAUGGGAUAACCAAAAUUAAACCCGAAAUCUCAGAAGAAACAAAUUAUUUGAAGAAAUUGGAUGUGAUUUUUUUACAAUUUUUCAUUCAACUAAAACUUUGUGAACUGUUUUGUGGUUUUGGUCUUCUCUAAAUUUUAAUCUUUGGCAUUUACUUCCAAAGUAUCCCCCACUAAACUUCAUAACAUUUAUUGUGUCUCUUCAUCAUUAAACUUUGAUGAAUUUA